CAGAUAUUAGGAACUUUCCAUCAAAGUUCUCACUAUUCCUUCUUCUCCAGAUGUCCUUAACGAUAAAAUUGAGGUAAUUAGGCACAGCUGGGCUGCUGGUGGUAGGUGUGGCUCCUGUAUAUAAAGAGAGACAGGCCCUCUGCAGGGAGGUUUGGAGUCCUUUGGGAAGAGUCAUCUCUCAAUUCUACUUGAUUAAGAUAGCAGCCAGCAACAAUCCUUGAAAGACAGGCACUGGAGUGCUGUGUGUCAGUGUCCCCUUUGCUAGCUGUAGUUAUGCAGCUUCCCUGGCCAGAAACAGGGCUGUAUCAAAGGAAAGCUUGUGGCUUACCCUUCUUCCAUGGAGCAGCAAAACCUGAGCCCAGGGAACUUUGGUAGGAGAGGAGCUUCCCCAGGAGCACGCUUCCUGCGCAGCCAGCAAUUAGGCAUUUUCCUACGGUUAAACUUGUUAGCUCAGACCGC
rnacentral:lncRNA from 1 species